AGGGAUCAUUACAGAGUUUACAACUCCCAAACCCAAAUGUGAACAUACCUAUCGUUGCUUCGGCGGACUCGCCCCGGUGUCCGGUCGACCUUGCGUCGGCCGCGGCCCGGAACCAGGCGGCCGCCGGAGACCACCAAACUCUUUGUAUUAUCAGUAUCUUCUGAAUCCGCCGCAAGGCAAAACAAAUGAAUCAAAACUUUCAACAACGGAUCUCUUGGUUCUGGCAUCGAUGAAGAACGCAGCGAAAUGCGAUAAGUAAUGUGAAUUGCAGAAUUCAGUGAAUCAUCGAAUCUUUGAACGCACAUUGCGCCCGCCAGCAUUCUGGCGGGCAUGCCUGUUCGAGCGUCAUUUCAACCCUCGGUUUCCCUUUGGGGAAGUCGGCCGUUGGAGAUCGGCGAUCCAUACCGGAUCGCCGGCUCCCAAAUUUAGUGGCGGCCCGUCCGCGGCGACCUCUGCGUAGUAACAACCACUCGCACCGGAGACCCGACGCUGGCCACGCCGUAAAACAACCCAAUUUCUGAAUGUUGACCUCGGAUCAGGUAGGAAUACCCGCUGAACUUAA
rnacentral:rRNA from 1 species